rnacentral:lncRNA from 1 species
AAGAUGCUGUGGUGGAUUAACUAAUGGUCAACUUGGGUGGGGACGCCCAGCUGAACUGAAUUUGUGAGGUUCUGGGCGUGGAAGAUCCACUUGAGGAUUAUUGCCAAAGGGAUAAAAGGAGAACUGGAAGGGAAGAUUUCAUGCUGUUGAUUUUCCUGGAGAAGCAUCCUGUGGCUGGUUUUCUGGAUAUGAACUUAGCUGUUGUUGUCAUCAGAGGAGCUCAGGUCCUCGCUGUCAACAGGGACGGCCGCUGUUCUCUUCCAGGGAGCUCAGGUCUUCGGUUCCUGGCUCCACUGCAGAUCCCUCAGCCCACCAGUGCAGACUUUCUGGCUUCCACCACUGGCCUUGGCCUUCCUGGUGCAGUUUCUCGAUACGGACUUGCAGGAGACAUUGCCAUGGGCUCCAGGCCUUCAGCUGGACUCUGCAGGACACUGCUGUGGGAUCUAAGGCCUCAGUUCUCUUGCUGAGCCAAAACCAAAAUUGUAAAUCAAACAAGGACGAGACAACAGCCCAGCUGAACCAUUGGCUGAGGAGGGCUGGAGAGCAGCGCCUGUGGACAUCUGCUGUUAGGCAUGAGCCAAGCCUUCCCAGGAGAACUGGAGGUAAAUGCAGCAAGCAGCAGGCACUGCUGGGGUCCUGGCAGUGCCUGAAUGUCCUCUGUGGAAUCGCUGUGGACAUUUCCUCCUGUCCAGCCUCCUCCAACCUGGCUUUCAU